ensembl:miRNA
GAAAGAAGAACUGGUCAAAAUGAAAAUGCUCUUCUGUCAUUGUAAUAGUUCACAUGGGCACUGACAGGAGAGCAUUUUAAUUUUGUCAAGUGUGUCUGCU